rnacentral:rRNA from 1 species
GACGAACGCUGGCGGCGUGCUUAACACAUGCAAGUCGAACGGAAAGGCCCUGCUUUUGUGGGGUGCUCGAGUGGCGAACGGGUGAGUAACACGUGAGUAACCUGCCCGUUACUUUGGGAUAACUUCAGGAAACUGGGGCUAAUACCGGAUAUGAGCUCCUGCUGCAUGGUGGGGGUUGGAAAGUUUCGGCGGUUGGGGAUGGACUCGCGGCUUAUCAGCUUGUUGGUGGGGUAGUGGCUUACCAAGGCUUUGACGGGUAGCCGGCCUGGUAGGGUGACCGGCCACAUUGGGACUGAGAUAAGGCCCAGACUCCUACGGGAGGCAGCAGUGGGGAAUAUUGCACAAUGGGCGGAAGCCUGAUGCAGCAACGCCGCGUGCGGGAUGACGGCCUUCGGGUUGUAAACCGCUUUCGCCUGUGACGAAGCGUGAGUGACGGUAAUGGGUAAAGAAGCACCGGCUAACUACGUG